rnacentral:rRNA from 1 species
UACGGAGGGUGCAAGCGUUAUCCGGAUUUACUGGGCUUAAAGGGUGCGUAGGCGGGCCUGUAAGUCAGUGGUGAAAUCUUCAAGCUUAACUUGGAAACUGCCAUUGAUACUAUAGGUCUUGAAUUAUCUGGAGGUAAGCGGAAUAUGUCAUGUAGCGGUGAAAUGCUUAGAGAUGACAUAGAACACCCAUUGCGAAGGCAGCUUACUACGGAUUGAUUGACACUGAGGCACGAAAGCGUGGGGAGCAAACAGG